rnacentral:rRNA from 1 species
AGCCUACGGGGCGCAGCAGUGGGGAAUAUUGCACAAUGGGGGAAACCCUGAUGCAGCGACGCCGCGUGAGUGAAGAAGUAUUUUGGUAUGUAAAGCUCUAUCAGCAGGGAAGAAAAUGACGGUACCUGAUUAAGAAGCCCCGGCUAACUACGUGCCAGCAGCCGCGGUAAUACGUAGGGGGCAAGCGUUAUCCGGAUUUACUGGGUGUAAAGGGAGCGUAGACGGUGAUGCAAGUCAGAAGUGAAAGCCCGGGGCUCAACCGCGGGACUGCUUUGGAAACUGUUAAGCUGGAGUGCAGGAGAGGU